rnacentral:rRNA from 1 species
UACGUAGGGGGCAAGCGUUGUCCGGAAUCAUUGGGCGUAAAGAGCGUGUAGGCGGCCCGGUAAGUCCGCUGUGAAAGUCCAGGGCUCAACCCUGGGAUGCCGGUGGAUACUGUCGGGCUCGAGUCCGGAAGAGGAGUGUGGAAUUCCUGGUGUAGCGGUGAAAUGCGCAGAUAUCAGGAGGAACACCGAUGGCGAAGGCAGUGUUCUGGGCCAGUACUGACGCUGAGGAGCGAAAGCGUGGGGAGCAAACAGG